UUAAAUAUUAUAUAAAUACUCAGACAUCAAAGAUUCGAGGGUUAUAGGCUAUCGGCAGGCAGCAAAGCCUGCCGAAGCAACGAAGUUCAGUAUACAAAGGGUGAGAAUAAGGGUGUUUAAAGCCCAGUUAUUCAUUAAUGAUCCUUCCGCAGGUUCACCUACGGAAA
rnacentral:misc_RNA from 1 species